AGACGAGGGGGAGGGGCCAGGAGGGACGAGGGGGAGGGGCCAGGAGCGGGAGGGGGGGAGCCGUGGCGCCGCUCUUGGGCCGCGAGGCCUCCCCCUGGGCCUGCGGCGCCACGCGGAGACCGCGACAGCAGCAGCAGCAGGAGGUUUAAGAAUCUGCUGGUGUCUGUGCUGGAGGUGGACGUCGGAUAUCUGUGCAGUCUGGAGUGGUGGACAAUAGACUUCUGCAGCUCAACCAGGGCCAGAGGCUGAGAGCACAGCAGAGGAGGCUACACGGGGAACUGGGCCGCGUCAGGGGCGAGAGACGCGGGGCGACUCGACACUUCACAGCGGCCUUCAUAGAUGUGUACUGCUUCAUUCAUAGGAGCUCAAUAACAGCACUUGCCCCACCAGUCUGUGGAGCUCCAUGGGGGAUGUUUGUGUCGGAGCUCGUGCUGUAGGCAUAGACGACGCGCGACCGUGGAUCCUCUAUAGGGAGCGCUCGUCUGCUGUGGGUCGCAUGGAGCUGCACGAGCGGACACCGCCGCAGCGAUUCCCAUACCGAGUCACGAGAUAGGCGCUGGGAAACAAUUGCGCUGAAGUGUGUUGCUGGGUGGAUGAAGCGAGCACCACCAUGGUGUGCUUGCCUUGUAUGGUCAGUCGUGUGACUGAUUAUUAUAAUAUAUUAAUUCACACCUGUGCACCGUGUCAUGGCAGUUUCUCUGUUUUCCUUCAUUGCAUUUUUAUUUCAGAAAUAUUUCACCUGCAAAAUAGAUUGAGUUUGAAUAUCUCAUGCGAAAGGGUGCCCAGGGCAUGUGGGGUCGUCCAAUUGCACAGUGUUUAGCGCACAUCACUACACACCCAUGGACUAAAUCCAGAGGCGAGUGACAAAUGAAUCAGUUCUGCCCCCCUCGCUUCACCAACCCGCACUAGUCGGCGUGGUGAAAUAUGGUAAAAAAUCAACACGACCGACAGGGCAUAGGGUGUCCAUUAUCCAGAAGGGCUUUACUUUAUUAUCACAUCCACAUCUAAUUGUGGAUUUGGUUAUUUUUCUUUAGUUAUCUUUGUUGUAUAAAUACAACUUGACAAGAUGUCUACUGCUUCAUUCUGGUACAUUUACUGUUUUUCAGUGCA